UACGAAGGGGGCUAGCGUUGCUCGGAAUCACUGGGCGUAAAGCGCACGUAGGCGGAUUGUUAAGUCAGGGGUGAAAUCCUGGAGCUCAACUCCAGAACUGCCUUUGAUACUGGCGAUCUUGAGUCCGGGAGAGGUGAGUGGAACUCCGAGUGUAGAGGUGAAAUUCGUAGAUAUUCGGAAGAACACCAGUGGCGAAGGCGGCUCUCUGGCCCGGUACUGACGCUGAUGUGCGAAAGCGUGGGGAGCAAACAGG
rnacentral:rRNA from 1 species